rnacentral:rRNA from 1 species
GCUUACGGCCAUACCAGCCUGGGUACGCCCGAUCUCGUCUGAUCUCGGCAAGCGGGUCGGGCCUGGUUAGUACUUGGAUGGGAGACCGCCUGGGAAUACCAGGUGCUGUAAGCA